rnacentral:rRNA from 1 species
UACGAAGGGGGCUAGCGUUGCUCGGAAUCACUGGGCGUAAAGCGCACGUAGGUGGGUCGUUAAGUCGGGGGUGAAAUCCUGGAGCUCAACUCCAGAACUGCCUUCGAUACUGGCGAUCUUCGAGUCCGGGAGAGGUGAGUGGAACUCCGAGUGUAGAGGUGAAAUUCGUAGAUAUUCGGAAGAACACCAGUGGCGAAGGCGGCUCACUGGCCCGGUACUGACGCUGAGGUGCGAAAGCGUGGGGAGCAAACAGG